CUUUGCAUGAGGGUGGUAGCAUAUCAGCAAAGGAGCACAAUAAAAUUAUGCUAACUAUUAAGGCAGUGACUCAACCCAACAUGAACAAUUUACUGCAAAAUUAAAAUUGACAUCAUGACCAUAUGCAAUGUUCAGCCGACUAACACAGAUCUAGUUGCCAGGAAGAGCUGUGCUCUAAAAAAAUGACUACCAGCUGUUUCAUAUAUAUAUGCUGCUUUCCAUGAAAACUUGAUAGAAAUUCUGAAUAGCAUCUUUGGGAAGCAGAGCAUAAUUAAUGCAAAAAAGAAACAUUAGCAGAAACAAAAGCUAUUUUAUGGCAACCUUUGACUAUCUCCAACUCUUCUGAAAAGCCUGAGUUCCUAGAGUAAUGCAAAGGAAAGGCUUAUACAGCACUCACAGCAAAAGAACAACUCUGUAAACGUGCAGACCAUAAAGAGAGAGAAAUGAAAAUAAAAGCAAAAAAUUAUCUUUUAAGAAAUUGUGAAUUCUAAGCUGCUCUCAAGGUUUUGGAGUGAUUUCAUAGUAUUCCAAAUGUAACUUUAAAUUAGAAAGAAUCCUUUUGACUUAGAGGCUUGUCUGGGAGCCCACUGCAUAUUAACCAAACUCUGCUGAAGGUCGUAGAUUAUAAAACUGAAAGGACAAUAUGAGAAGAAUAAGGAUCAAACCAGAUCAAAAUAUUUAUAUCUUUGUAAGCAGGCACAUUCUGGGGUGCACUUUACAGUUCUGAAAAUAGUCACAAACCUUAGUUUCUUCCUGUAGGGGCUGCAACCAUACUACUGUAGUCUGAAGAGAAACCAGAGGGUGACAGGCAUUAGGAGCACUGCUGUGUGUAUCUCACAUAGGGCAACCAAGACAUUACGACUUCAUGAAGACCCUGCAGAGCACACCUGCUUCAGGUGGUUCAGGACCCAGGAAUAUCCGCUAAAUUUCUAAUAACUGGAGAUAAGAUCUGAAUAACAAUAAAUCUUCCUAAGAGAUAAUUCACACAAACUUCACAGGGAGAGGUUUGUUAGUUAUUCAAAUUUUGCUGAUAGAAAAUUUAUCCGAAGUAGAG
ensembl:lncRNA